UUUAAUUGAAGAGUUUGAUCAUGGCUCAGAUUGAACGCUGGCGGCAGGCCUAACACAUGCAAGUCGAGCGGCAGCGACUUAACUGAACCUUCGGGGAACGUUAAGGGCGGCGAGCGGCGGAC
rnacentral:rRNA from 3 species